rnacentral:rRNA from 1 species
UACGAAGGGGACUAGCGUUGUUCGGAAUCACUGGGCGUAAAGCGCACGUAGGCGGAUUCGUAAGUCAGGGGUGAAAUCCCGGGGCUCAACCUCGGAACUGCCUUUGAUACUGCGGGUCUUGAGUCCGAUAGAGGUGGGUGGAAUUCCUAGUGUAGAGGUGAAAUUCGUAGAUAUUCGGAAGAACACCAGUGGCGAAGGCGGCUCACUGGACCGUUGUUGACGCUGAGGUGCGAAAGCGUGGGGAGCAAACAGG